GCUACGGUGGCCUAAUGGUUAGAACGUCCGUAUCAGAUGCGGGAGGUCGUGGGUUUAAUCCCCGGCCGAGUCAUACCA